rnacentral:rRNA from 1 species
UACAGAGGGUGCGAGCGUUGUUCGGAAUUAUUGGGCGUAAAGAGCUCGUAGGCGGUUCGUCGCGUCGGCUGUGAAAUCCCGAGGCUCAACCUCGGGUCUGCAGUCGAUACGGGCGGACUGGAGUUCGGCAGGGGAGACUGGAAUUCCUGGUGUAGCGGUGAAAUGCGCAGAUAUCAGGAGGAACACCGGUGGCGAAGGCGGGUCUCUGGGCCGAUACUGACGCUGAGGAGCGAAAGCGUGGGGAGCGAACAGG